GUGCUUGCUUCGGCAGCACGUACACUAAAAUUGGAACGCUACAGAGAAGAUUAGCAUGGCCCCUGCACGAGGAUGACAUGCGAAUCUGUGAAGCAUUCCAUUUUUAA
rnacentral:snRNA from 1 species